CAUGCAAGUCGAACGUGCAGCACGGGUGCUUGCACCUGGUGGCGAGUGGCGAACGGGUGAGUAAUACAUCGGAACAUGUCCUGUAGUGGGGGAUAGCCCGGCGAAAGCCGGAUUAAUACCGCAUACGAUCUACGGAUGAAAGCGGGGGACCUUCGGGCCUCGCGCUAUAGGGUUGGCCGAUGGCUGAUUAGCUAGUUGGUGGGGUAAAGGCCUACCAAGGCGACGAUCAGUAGCUGGUCUGAGAGGACGACCAGCCACACUGGGACUGAGACACGGCCCAGACUCCUACGGGAGGCAGCAGUGGGGAAUUUUGGACAAUGGGCGAAAGCCUGAUCCAGCAAUGCCGCGUGUGUGAAGAAGGCCUUCGGGUUGUAAAGCACUUUUGUCCGGAAAGAAAUCCUUGGUUCUAAUAUAGCCGGGGGAUGACGGUACCGGAAGAAUAAGCACCGGCUAACUACGUGCCAGCAGCCGCGGUAAUACGUAGGGUGCGAGCGUUAAUCGGAAUUACUGGGCGUAAAGCGUGCGCAGGCGGUUUGCUAAGACCGAUGUGAAAUCCCCGGGCUCAACCUGGGAACUGCAUUGGUGACUGGCAGGCUAGAGUAUGGC
rnacentral:rRNA from 1 species